AGAGUUUGAUCCUGGCUCAGAACGUACGCUGGCGGCACGCCUAACACAUGCAAGUCGAACGAGGUAGCAAUACCUAGUGGCAGACGGGUGCGUAACAUGUGGGAAUCUACCUUUUGGUUCGGAACAACACGGGGAAACCUGUGCUAAUACCGGAUAAGUCCUUACGGAGAAAAAUUUAUUGCCGAAAGAUGAGCCCGCAUUUGAUUAGCUUGUUGGUGAGGUAAAAGCUCACCAAGGCAACGAUCAAUAGCUGAUUUGAGAGGAUGAUCAGCCACACUGGGACUGAGACACGGCCCAGACUCCUACGGGAGGCAGCAGUGGGGAAUCUUGCACAAUGGAGGAAACUCUGAUGCAGCGAUGCCGCGUGAGUGAAGAAGGCCCUUGGGUUGUAAAGCUCUUUUGUCGGGAAAGAUAAUGACUGUACCCGAAGAAUAAGGUCCGGCUAACUUCGUGCCAGCAGCCGCGGUAAUACGAAGGGACCUAGCGUAGUUCGGAAUUACUGGGCGUAAAGCGCGCGUAGGCGGUUAAGUAAGUUAAUUGUGAAAGCCCGAAGCUUAACUUCGGAAUUGCAAUUAAAACUACUUAGCUAGAGUUUAUCAGAGGAAAGCGGAAUACAUAGUGUAGAGGUGAAAUUCGUAGAUAUUAUGUAGAACACCAGUUGCGAAGGCGGCUUUCUGGGGUAACACUGACGCUGAGGUGCGAAAGUAUGGGUAGCGAAGAGGAUUAGAUACCCUCGUAGUCCAUACCGUAAACGAUGAUUGUUAGAUGUUGAAAAUUUAUUUUCAGUAUCACAGCUAACGCGUUAAACAAUCCGCCUGGGGAGUACGACCGCAAGGUUAAAACUCAAAGGAAUUGACGG
rnacentral:rRNA from 1 species